UACAGAGGGUGCAAGCGUUGUUCGGAAUUAUUGGGCGUAAAGGGCGCGUAGGCGGUGCGGUAAGUCUGUAGUGAAAUCUCUGGGCUCAACUCAGAGUCUGCUGCAGAAACUGCCGUGCUUGAGUGUGGGAGAGGAGAGUGGAAUUCCUGGUGUAGCGGUGAAAUGCGCAGAUAUCAGGAAGAACACCCGUGGCUAAGGCGGCUCUCUAGUACGGUACUGACGCUGAGACGCGAAAGCGUGGGGAGCGAACAGG
rnacentral:rRNA from 1 species